CAAAUACUCCCUCCAUCCGGAAAUACUUGUCAUCAAAAUGGAUAAAAGGAAAUGUAUCUAGACGUAUUUUAGUUUUAGAUACAUCUCUUUUUAUCCAUUUUGAUGACAAGUAUUUUUGGACGGAGGGAGUAGAAA
rfam:Triticum aestivum genome assembly, contig: Triticum_aestivum_CS42_TGACv1_scaffold_375707_5AL